GCCCCCGUAGCUCAGCCGGUAGAGUAACUGACUGUUAAUCAGUGGGUCGUGAGUUCGAGUCUCACCGGGGGCGC
rnacentral:tRNA from 1 species